rnacentral:rRNA from 1 species
UAACACAUGCAAGUCGAACGGGGUCGGAACUUCGGUUCCGGCUUACGUGGCGCACGGGUGAGUAACACGUGGGAAUCUGCCCAUCUAUGGGGAAUAACUGCGGGAAACUGCAGCUAAUACCGCAUACGCCCUUCGGGGGAAAGGCUUCGGCCGUAGAUGGAUGAGCCCGCGUCCGAUUAGCUAGUUGGUGGGGUAAAAGCCUACCAAGGCGACGAUCGGUAGCUGGUCUGAGAGGAUGAUCAGCCACACUGGGACUGAGACACGGCCCAGACUCCUACGGGAGGCAGCAGUGGGGAAUAUUGGACAAUGGGCGAAAGCCUGAUCCAGCAAUGCCGCGUGAGUGAUGAAGGUCUUCGGAUUGUAAAGCUCUUUCGACGGGGAAGAUAAUGACGGUACCCGUAGAAGAAGCCCCGGCUAACUUCGUGCCAGCAGCCGCGGUAAUAAGGGCGAAUUC